rnacentral:rRNA from 1 species
UACGUAGGGUCCGAGCGUUGUCCGGAAUUAUUGGGCGUAAAGGGCUCGUAGGCGGUCUGUCGCGUCGGGAGUGAAAUCCACUGGCUUAACUGGUGGCUUGCUUUCGAUACGGGCAGACUGGAGGUAUGCAGGGGAGAACGGAAUUCCUGGUGUAGCGGUGAAAUGCGCAGAUAUCAGGAGGAACACCGGUGGCGAAGGCGGUUCUCUGGGCAUUACCUGACGCUGAGGAGCGAAAGCGUGGGGAGCGAACAGG